UGUGGCCUUCCGAUGCCUCUACUUUAUAUCGAAAGUCAGGGGCUACAAAGUUGUAGCAAGACAUCUUCCUCAUGAGACUGCCGAUCUGGAGCCUUUGCUACAUUACUUGGAAAACCAAGACCCUGGUGUGCAACUAAAAUGGGAGACUCAUUACGGCUUGCUUCUCUGGCUCAGCAUUGUAGUUAAAAUCCCAUUCCACCUUCAGCGAUUUGACACCAGCACUUCAGAGCCAAUCAUGGAAAGAAUUCUGAAUGUCUGUAAGAAAUACCUGGCUGGGACAACAAAAGCUCAGGACAUGGCCUUUUAUGUAUCGGCAAUCUAUCUUACAAGGCCUGAUGUCAAAGAUUCCUAUCUACCGUGAUUCAUCAAUUGGGCUUCUGAGGCUCUUACCAAAGAUAGUGCUCAGUU